AGCGGCGAACGGGUGAGUAACACGUGGGUGAUCUGCCCUGCACUUCGGGAUAAGCCUGGGAAACUGGGUCUAAUACCGGAUAUGACCUUCGGCUGCAUGGCCGUUGGUGGAAAGGUUUACUGGUGCAGGAUGGGCCCGCGGCCUAUCAGCUUGUUGGKGGGGUAAUGGCCUACCAAGGCGACGACGGGUAGCCGACCUGAGAGGGUGACCGGCCACACUGGGACUGAGACACGGCCCAGACUCCUACGGGAGGCAGCAGUGGGGAAUAUUGCACAAUGGGCGAAAGCCUGAUGCAGCGACGCCGCGUGAGGGAUGACGGCCUUCGGGUUGUAAACCUCUUUCAGCAGGGACGAAGCGAAAGUGACGGUACCUGCARAAGAAGCACCGGCCAACUACGUGCCAGCAGCCGCGGUAAUACGUAGGGUGCAAGCGUUGUCCGGAAUUACUGGGCGUAAAGAGCUCGUAGGCGGUUUGUCGCGUCGUCUGUGAAAACUCGGGGCUCAACCUCGAGCUUGCAGGGGAUACGGGCAGACUUGAGUACUGCAAGGGAGACUGGGAAUUCCCUGGUGUAGCGGUGAAUGCGCAGAUAUCAGGAGAAACACCGGUGGCGAAGGCGGGUCUCUGGGCA
rnacentral:rRNA from 1 species